GAGGGAAUCGUCGAAGGUGGGACUGGCGAUUGGGACGAAGUCGUAACAAGGUAGCCGUACCGGAAGGUGCGGCUGGAUCACCUCCUUUCUAAGGAGCA
rnacentral:rRNA from 1 species